AUUGAACAGCUAUACAGGAAGGCAUCGUCAACAAAAAAACCAGAAAGGGAAUAUGUAGUGGCAAAGAAAGGAGUUCAAGUUAAGGUUGGCAAGGGAAAAGUCCUUGUUGAUCCAAGAAUGAAAAAAGAUGCAAGAAAGCAUGGAAUGAAAAAGAAGAAGCAGCAGGACAAGGGGAAGAAGGGCAACCAAAAAGGAAAAGGCUCAGGAAAGGCUUCAGCAGCUGGCAACAAGGGAGGCCGGGGAAAGUGAAAUGAACUUUAGGAUCUUUGAGGAGCUUAAGCUCAUGAUUUUGUUUACAUUUUUAGAUUAAUUAGUGUAAGAUUUUCUGGUUUCUUAAUGCUUUUUCUUGUAACAUUGUUUUCUAUUUAUA
rnacentral:misc_RNA from 1 species